CAUAUCAAUAAGCGGAGGAAAAGAAACUAACAAGGAUUCCCCUAGUAACUGCGAGUGAAGCGGGAAAAGCUCAAAUUUAAAAUCUGGCAGCCUUUGGUUGUCCGAGUUGUAAUCUAGAGAAGUGUUAUCCGCGCUGGACCGUGUACAAGUCUCCUGGAAUGGAGCGUCAUAGAGGGUGAGAAUCCCGUCUUUGACACGGACUGCCAGGGCUUUGUGAUGCGCUCUCAAAGAGUCGAGUUGUUUGGGAAUGCAGCUCAAAAUGGGUGGUAAAUUCCAUCUAAAGCUAAAUAUUGGCGAGAGACCGAUAGCGAACAAGUACCGUGAGGGAAAGAUGAAAAGAACUUUGGAAAGAGAGUUAAACAGUACGUGAAAUUGCUGAAAGGGAAACGCUUGAAGUCAGUCGCGUUGUCCAGGGAUCAACCUUGCUUUUGCUUGGUGCACUUUCUGGUUAACGGGUCAACAUCAAUUUUGACUAUUGGAAAAAGAUUAGGGGAAUGUGGCAUCUUCGGAUGUGUUAUAGCCCUUGGUUGCAUACAAUGGUUGGGAUUGAGGAACUCAGCACGCCGCAAGGCCGGGUUUUUAACCACGUACGUGCUUAGGAUGUUGGCAUAAUGGCUUUAAUCGACCCGUCUUGAAACACGGACCAAGGAGUCUAACAUGCCUGCGAGUGUUUGGGUGGAAAACCCGAGCGCGUAAUGAAAGUGAAAGUUGAGAUCCCUGUCGUGGGGAGCAUCGACGCCCGGACCAGACCUUUUGUGACGGUUCCGCGGUAGAGCAUGUAUGUUGGGACCCGAAAGAUGGUGAACUAUGCCUGAAUAGGGUGAAGCCAGAGGAAACUCUGGUGGAGGCUCGUAGCGAUUCUGACGUGCAAAUCGAUCGUCAAAUUUGGGUAUAGGGGCGAAAGACUAAUCGAAUCAUCUAGUAGCUGG
rnacentral:rRNA from 1 species